rnacentral:rRNA from 1 species
UACGUAGGGGGCGAGCGUUGUCCGGAUUCAUUGGGCGUAAAGAGCUCGUAGGCGGUUCGGCAAGUCGGGUGUGAAAACUCCAGGCUCAACCUGGAGACGCCACCCGAUACUGCUGUGACUCGAGUCCGGUAGGGGACCACGGAAUUCCUGGUGUAGCGGUGGAAUGCGCAGAUAUCAGGAGGAACACCGGUGGCGAAGGCGGGUCUCUGGGCAGUAACUGACGCUGAGGAGCGAAAGCGUGGGGAGCGAACAGG